CACAGGUGCUGCAUGGCUGUCGUCAGCUCGUGUCGUGAGAUGUCGGUUAAGUCCGCUAACGAGCGCAACCCUCGCUGUGUGUUACAAGUGUCACACGGUACUGCCGGUCUUAAGCCGGAGGAAGGUGGGGAUGACGUCAAGUCAGCAUGGCCUUUAUGUCCUGGGCUACACACACGCUACAAUGGCCAACACAAUAGGUUGCUAAGCCGCGAGGUGGAGCCAAUCCUCAAAGUUGGUCUCAGUUCAGAUUGCAGGCUGCAACCCGCCUGCAUGAAGAUGGAGUUGCUAGUAACCGCAGGUCAGCUAUACUGCGGUGAAUACGUUCCCGGGGCUU
rnacentral:rRNA from 1 species